AGAGUUUGAUUAUGGCUCAGGAUGAACGCUGGCGGCGUGCUUAACACAUGCAAGUCGAACGAGAACCAUUGGAUCGAGGAUUCGUCCAAGUGAAGGUGGGGAAAGUGGCGGACGGGUGAGUAACGCGUGAGCAAUCUGCCUUGGAGUGGGGAAUAACGGCUGGAAACAGCCGCUAAUACCGCAUGAUACAGCUGGGAGGCAUCUCCCUGGCUGUCAAAGAUUUAUCGCUCUGAGAUGAGCUCGCGUCUGAUUAGCUAGUUGGCGGGGUAACGGCCCACCAAGGCGACGAUCAGUAGCCGGACUGAGAGGUUGGCCGGCCACAUUGGGACUGAGACACGGCCCAGACUCCUACGGGAGGCAGCAGUGGGGAAUAUUGGGCAAUGGGCGCAAGCCUGACCCAGCAACGCCGCGUGAAGGAAGAAGGCUUUCGGGUUGUAAACUUCUUUUGUCAGGGACGAAGCAAGUGACGGUACCUGACGAAUAAGCCACGGCUAACUACGUGCCAGCAGCCGCGGUAAUACGUAGGUGGCAAGCGUUAUCCGGAUUUAUUGUGUGUAAAGGGCGUGUAGGCGGGAAUGCAAG
rnacentral:rRNA from 1 species